CCCGCCCGCUGGCGGCAUGCCUAACACAUGCAAGUCGAACGAUGCCUUCGGGCAUAGUGGCGCACGGGUGCGUAACGCGUGGGAAUCUGCCUUUCGGUUCGGAAUAACUCAGGGAAACUUGAGCUAAUACCGGAUAACGUCGCAAGACCAAAGAUUUAUCACCGAAAGAUGAGCCCGCGUAGGAUUAGCUAGUUGGUGAGGUAAAGGCUCACCAAGGCGACGAUCCUUAGCUGGUCUGAGAGGAUGAUCAGCCACACUGGGACUGAGACACGGCCCAGACUCCUACGGGAGGCAGCAGUGGGGAAUAUUGGACAAUGGGCGAAAGCCUGAUCCAGCAAUGCCGCGUGAGUGAUGAAGGCCUUAGGGUUGUAAAGCUCUUUUACCCGGGAAGAUAAUGACGGUACCGGGAGAAUAAGCCCCGGCUAACUCCGUG
rnacentral:rRNA from 1 species